CCCCCCCCAUUUUUUUUCACAUCCCCCUUUCCCUUUUUCCAAAACUGAUCUCAAUUCAAAUUUCUAAUGGAGUUCGCAACAAUAAGUACUCAUUUAAAUACAUCAUAAAAUAUUAAAAUGUAACAAAAGGUGCUUGUUAUCACUGAAUGGUAAAGAUUGUUUUAAUUUAUCAGUUGGUAGUAAAAGUGAAUAUACAUUGUAUUGUAUAAAACAAUGAUUUAAGUUGAUUCAACUACUAUUCUGGACAAAGAAAGAUAACUCCAAUCAAUUGAAAAUUUCUUGCUAUUGCACAAUAUUGUGCAAUUAGAUAGUUCUUGCUAUUGCGCAAUACUGUGCAAUUGAAAAUAUUUGCUAUUGCACAAUACUGUGCAAUUGAAAAUUUCUUGUUAUUGCGCAAUACUGUGCAAUUGAAAAUUUCUUGCUAUUGCACAAUACUGUGCAAUUGAAGAUUUCUUGCUAUUGCUGAAUACUGUGCAAUUGAAAAUUUCUUGCUAUAUUGCACAAUACUUAAUAUUAUAAUUUUGGAUCCUGAUUUGAACCAACUUGAAAACUGGGCCCAUAAUCAAAAAAUCUAAGUACAUGUUUAGA
rnacentral:lncRNA from 1 species